UACGUAGGUGACAAGCGUUGUCCGGAUUUACUGGGCGUAAAGAGCGCGCAGGCGGUCGAUCAAGUCGAGUGUGAAAGCCCCCGGCUCAACUGGGGAGGGUCAUUCGAUACUGAUCGACUCGAAGGCAGGAGAGGGUAGUGGAAUUCCCGGUGUAGUGGUGAAAUGCGUAGAGAUCGGGAGGAACACCUGUGGCGAAGGCGGCCGACUGGGCCGACCCUGACGCUGAGGCGCGAAGGCGUGGGGAGCGAACGGG
rnacentral:rRNA from 1 species